rnacentral:rRNA from 1 species
GAUGAACGCUGGCGGCGUGCCUAAUACAUGCAAGUCGAGCGAAUGGAUUAAGAGCUUGCUCUUAUGAAGUUAGCGGCGGACGGGUGAGUAACACGUGAGUAACCUGCCCAUAAGACUGGGAUAACUCCGGGAAACCGGGGCUAAUACCGGAUAACAUUUUGAACCGCAUGGUUCGAAAUUGAAAGGCGGGUUCGGCUGUCACUUAUGGAGGGACCCGCGUCGCAUUAGCCAGUUGGUGAGGUAACGGCUCACCAAGGCAACGAUGCGUAGCCGACCUGAGAGGGUGAUCGGCCACACUGGGACUGAGACACGGCCCAGACUCCUACGGGAGGCAGCAGUAGGGAAUCUUCCGCAAUGGACGAAAGUCUGACGGAGCAACGCCGCGUGAGUGAUGAAGGCUUUCGGGUCGUAAAACUCUGUUGUUAGGGAAGAACAAGUGCUAGUUGAAUAAGCUGGCACCUUGACGGUACCUAACCAGAAAGCCACGGCUAACUACGAGCCAGCCGCCGCAGUAA